rnacentral:rRNA from 1 species
CACGUAGGGCGCAAGCGUUGUCCGGAAUUAUUGGGCGUAAAGAGCUCGUAGGCGGUCUGUUGCGUCCGCUGUGAAAACUCGGGGCUUAACCCCGAGCCUGCAGUGGAUACGGGCAGACUAGAGAUAGGUAGGGGAGAAUGGAAUUCCCGGUGUAGCGGUGAAAUGCGCAGAUAUCGGGAAGAACACCCGUGGCGAAGGCGGCUCUCUGGGACGGUACUGACGCUGAGACGCGAAAGCGUGGGGAGCGAACAGG